rnacentral:rRNA from 1 species
UACGGAGGGUGCAAGCGUUAUCCGGAUUUACUGGGUUUAAAGGGUGCGUAGGUGGGUUGGUAAGUCAGUGGUGAAAUACUUUCGCUUAACGAAGGAACUGCCAUUGAUACUACCAGUCUUGAAUACAGUGGAGGUAGGCGGAAUGCGUCAUGUAGCGGUGAAAUGCUUAGAUAUGACGCAGAACACCAAUUGCGAAGGCAGCUUGCUACACUGUUAUUGACACUGAGGCACGAAAGCGUGGGGAGCAAACAGG